rnacentral:rRNA from 1 species
GUCUAGUGCAUUUUAAAAUUUUCAGCUUGUCUGAGUGAAGAUAAUAAAUACGAAUUGUCUCCAUAAAAUUAAGUUGUAGCUCCAGCGUUUGUGAAAAUAGGUAAACAGGACAGGUUUUCAUAAUGCGACAAUAGGGACCCCAUUAAACGAGAAAGAGGGAAUACGUCCCAGUUAUUUUGGUAUAGUAAUUUUAUUCAAUUGAAUUAACAGCAGGGUUGGUUUAAAUUUAUUUUUUAUUUUAUAAUAAUUUAAAUAAAAAAUUAUUUAUUUUUAGGUGUCCCAGAAGAGCAGGGAACUCGGACAGAUAUUCAAAAAUAUGUCUGGAAUUUAAGUUUAAAAAGAGAAUUUUGUCGAUAAAAGGUAUUUUGGAAAGUAAGGUCGGGGGUUAAUUUUCCGUUUAAUAAUACGAUGGAAUCGUGUCAGUAAUAUGACGCCGGUAAAUUUAAAAGUAACUCGUCCGGAAUAGAAAUUUGAUUGGAUUUCUUUUACAAAAACAAUUUGUCCGC